UACGUAGGGGGCAAGCGUUGUCCGGAAUCAUUGGGCGUAAAGCGCGUGUAGGCGGCCCGGUAAGUCCGCUGUGAAAGUCGGGGGCUCAACCCUCGGAUGCCGGUGGAUACUGUCGGGCUAGAGUGCGGGAGAGGCGAGUGGAAUUCCUGGUGUAGCGGUGAAAUGCGCAGAUAUCAGGAGGAACACCAAUUGCGAAGGCAGCUCGCUGGAACGUUACUGACGCUGAGACGCGAAAGCGUGGGGAACAAACAGG
rnacentral:rRNA from 1 species